UACGUAGGGUGCGAGCGUUAAUCGGAAUUACUGGGCGUAAAGGGUGCGUAGGCGGCGCGGUAAGUCGGGUGUGAAAUCUCGGAGCUUAACUCCGAAACUGCAUUCGAUACUGCCGUGCUUGAGGACUGGAGAGGAGACUGGAAUUUACGGUGUAGCGGUGAAAUGCGUAGAGAUCCGGAGGAACACCAGUGGCGAAGGCGGCUCGCUGGGCUUUUUCUGACGCUGAGGCGCGAAAGCGUGGGGAGCGAACCGG
rnacentral:rRNA from 1 species